rnacentral:rRNA from 1 species
GAUCAUGGCUCAGGAUGAACGCUAGCUACAGGCUUAACACAUGCAAGUCGAGGGGCAGCAUGGUCUUAGCUUGCUAAGUUUGAUGGCGACCGGCGCACGGGUGAGUAACGCGUAUGCAACUUGCCUAUCAGAGGAGAAUAGCUCAUCGAAAGAUGAAUUAAUGCUCCAUAAAACAGGGGUCCCGCAUGGGAAUAUUUGUUAAAGAUUCAUCGCUG